rnacentral:rRNA from 1 species
ACAUGCCUACAACAUAGCAUUAAUGCAUCGGAUCCCAUUAGAACUCUGCAGUUAAGCAUGCUCAGGAUAGAGUAGUACUAGGAUAGGUGAUCACCCAAUAAGUCCUAGUAUUUUACAUGCC